UACGAAGGGGACUAGCGUUGUUCGGAUUUACUGGGCGUAAAGCGCGCGUAGGCGGAUCGCUAAGUCAGGGGUGAAAUCCCAGGGCUCAACCCCUGGAACUGCCUUUGAUACUGACGAUCUGGAGAUCGGGAGAGGUUGUGGAAUUCCGAGUGUAGAGGUGAAAUUCGUAGAUAUUCGGAGGAACACCAGAAGCGAAGGCGGCCAACUGGCCCG
rnacentral:rRNA from 1 species